rnacentral:tRNA from 1 species
UAGCUCAAUGGUAGAGCACUUGCCUAACAUGCAUGAGGCACUAGGUUUGAUCCCUGG